GACGAACGCUGGCGGCGUGCUUAACACAUGCAAGUCGAACGAUGAAGCUGGAGCUUGCUCUGGCGGAUUAGUGGCGAACGGGUGAGUAACACGUGAGAAAUCUGCCCUUGACUCUGGGAUAACUGCGGGAAGCUGUAGCUAAUACCGGAUACUUUCCCUGGUGGGCAUCCACUGGGGGAGAAAGAAUUUCGGUCAAGGAUGAUCUCGCGGCCUAUCAGCUUGUUGGUGAGGUAAUGGCUCACCAAGGCGACGACGGGUAGCCGGCCUGAGAGGGUGACCGGCCACACUGGGACUUGGACACGGCCCAGACUCCUACGGGAGGCAGCAGUGGGGAAUAUUGCACAAGGGGCGCAAGCCUGAUGCAGCAACGCCGCGUGAGGGAUGAAGGUCUUCGGGUUGUAAACCUCUUUUAGCAGGGAAGAAGCGAAAGUGACGGUACCCGCAGAAAAAGCACCGGCUAACUACGUGCCAGCAGCCGCCGUAA
rnacentral:rRNA from 1 species